CCCGAGUGCUGGGAUUAAAGGUGUGCACCACCACUCAUCUCUAUUUUAUGGCGGUCCAGAAAUCAUCUGUAGGUAGCAGAUACCUGCCUGCCUGUUUAACAGCCUUCCCGGUGCUCUACGGGAUGAAGACCAAGCCCUUGGCCCCGAACACAGUACUCCUGAGAAACGGCCUUCAGUUCUUUUCUGUUUUCCCUCCUCCUGACCUCACUACUGUCUGACUACAUUAAAUCCCUUUGUUCCUUGCGUUCCAUGUAAACUUUCAUGCCCUUGCCUUUCCGUGGCUUCUCUCGGCCUGGAAGAAUGUUUUCCACUUUAACUCCCUUGAGCAGACUUUUAAACAUCCUUCAAAACUCAGCUGUCUGGCUUUUUUCGGUGAAACUGAUGUCCAGCAUUUCCUGGCUUUGUGCUUCAGUGGCAAUCCAUGGACAUCACAAAGAGGCUCCCUCGCUGGGGACUCUUUGAAGUUCAAGGCUGGGGCAUGCCAUUCUAUUGCCAAGUCCACCUAAAAGGCCCUCAAAACAUACUAUGCAAAUAAAUGAAUCAAAAGUAA